rnacentral:tRNA from 2 species
GCCGCCAUGGUGAAAUUGGUAGACA